CAGCCGCCGCGGUAAUACGAACCGUCCGAACGUUAUUCGGAACUACUGGGCUUAAAGCGCGUGUAGGCGGCUAGGUAAGUUAGAGGUGAAAGCCCAGGGCUCAACCCUGGAAUUGCCUUUAAGACUGCCGAGCUAGUAGGUGAGAGAGGUGAGUGGAAUUCCGAGUGUAGAGGUGAAAUUCGUAGAUAUUCGGAAGAACACCAGUGGCGAAGGCGGCUCACUGGCUCAUUCUAGACGCUGAGGUGCGAAAGCGUGGUAGCAAAUGGGAUUAGAUACCCGAGUAGUCCCUGUCUCUUAUACA
rnacentral:rRNA from 1 species